rnacentral:rRNA from 1 species
GACGAACGCUGGCGGCGUGCCUAAUACAUGCAAGUAGAACGCACAGUUUAUACCGUAGCUUGCUACACCAUAGACUGUGAGUUGCGAACGGGUGAGUAACGCGUAGGUAACCUGCCUGGUAGCGGGGGAUAACUAUUGGAAACGAUAGCUAAUACCGCAUAAUAUUAAUUAUUGCAUGAUAAUUAAUUGAAAGGUGCAAUUGCACCACUACCAGAUGGACCUGCGUUGUAUUAGCUAGUAGGUGAGGUAACGGCUCACCUAGGCGACGAUACAUAGCCGACCUGAGAGGGUGAUCGGCCACACUGGGACUGAGACACGGCCCAGACUCCUACGGGAGGCAGCAGUAGGGAAUCUUCGGCAAUGGAAGAAAGUCUGACCGAGCAACGCCGCGUGAGUGAAGAAGGUUUUCGGAUCGUAAAGCUCUGUUGUAAGAGAAGAACGGGUGUGAGAGUGGAAAGUUCACACUGUGACGGUAUCUUACCAGAAAGGGACGGCUAACUACGUG